GUUUCAGGGCGGGGCGAAAUUCCCCACUGGCGGUAUUGGGACGAGGUCCCAGAGCCCGCGAGCCGCAAGAGCGGCCGAUCUGGUGAGAUUCCAGAGCCAACGGUCACAGUCCGGAUGAGAGAAA
rnacentral:ncRNA from 1 species